rnacentral:rRNA from 1 species
GAUGAACGCUGGCGGCGUGCCUAAUACAUGCAAGUCGAACGAGGUGCUUUUGUAGCAAUACGAGAGUAUCCUAGUGGCGAACGGGUGAGUAACGCGUGGAUGACCUGCCCCAAAGGUGUGGGAUAACAGUCCGAAAGGAUUGCUAAUACCUCAUGUGGUUAUCGGUUUUAGAAAGCGAUAACUAAAGCAGCAAUGCGCUUUGGGAGGGAUCUGCGUCCCAUCAGCUAGUUGGUGAGGUAACGGCUCACCAAGGCGACGACGGGUAGGGGACCUGAGAGGGUGGCCCCCCANAAUGGAACUGAAACACGGUCCAUACACCUACGGGUGGCAGCAGUAGGGAAUAUUGCUCAAUGGGCGAAAGCCUGAAGCAGCAACGCCGNGUGUGCGAUGAAGGCCUU